rnacentral:tRNA from 1 species
GGGCCAGUGACCCGAGUGGCAAAGGGAGCAGAUUCUUAAUCUGCCGCGGGGAAACCCGCUUCGUGGGUUCGAGUCCCACCUGGCUCUCCA